GGGUGAUGUCUCCUUAUCCUUAGCAAUGGAGGUACUCGGCUGUGCUGUGGGUUGAAAUAGUACCUUAGACACUUAGUUGUCAGUGGUGUGGCGUGAGGUGGGGUUAGAUGCCCU
rfam:Ornithinibacillus halophilus strain IBRC-M 10683 genome assembly, contig: Ga0104432_1013